GAGAUUUGAUCUCUAUACGGACAGAGAGAUAUGAAAAAGCCUUUCACGCCAAUUAUUUGCAGAUGCAAGCGAGAACAAACCGCUAGAAAAUCCAAGACUUUUGCGAUGACUACUCCACCAGCCACCUAUCGAGUGCUCUUACAUAGUAGUCGGAGCACAAACUUCAGGUCUUCUCAAUAUUCACCUGUCAAACCCCCUACGGUAAGUAUCAAGCAGAAACUUUUUUUUUUUUGCAAAAAGAAUGCGCCGAAGUGCCUUAAUUGUUAUUAGAAUCAAACGGCACAAAUUGUGAUAUAAAAACACCAAUCAAAUUAUAAUUCAACCAGUAAACAAAUUCAUAUCUGACGAAUCAAAUUACCUGUAAUAUAAUUAACUUGGUAAUAAAUAGGACAAAUCUCUUCUUUUUCUUUUGAAAACAAACAAGAGUUAAAAAAUAAAAACACACGAAUUCAAAACCUUUUCCCCAUGAACAAAACCACCCACCCAACAUCCGCAGCUUAUACAUUAAUGAAGCAAGUUUCCAUAGUUAAUGAUGAGAGUGAACACACACAAAUUCAAAAACUUUACCCUUCUUUUUCGUGUGUUUCUUCCUCCGCUUUCUCCGCAUUCCCAGAAUUCUCACUCCUUAUACAUAUAAUUACAGGGGGGGGACGCUCUGUUCCUGGGCAGGCAGAGUCCAAAAACAAUGUCCAUCUCCAUUCCUCCUCCUCCUCCUCCUUUCUUUCCUCUGCCUGCAAAUCUCUCACCUCCGUUCAACUCCGUCGAGGCUCAUCCUUCCUCUCCUUUCGACAACCUCAAACCGAGCAUCCUCAUUAUCAUCCUCGUCCUCUCUAUCACUCUCCUAGUCUCCGUCUCCCUCUGUUUCGACAACCUCAAACCGAGCAUCCUCAUUAUCAUCCUCAUCCUCUCUAUCACUCUCCUAGUCUCCGUCUCCCUCUGUCUCCUCCUCCGUCUCCUCAACCGCCGCUGUCUCCACCUCUCCUCCGCCGCUUCCACCACUACCACCACCACCACCACAGAUUCUCACCGCCACGUCACCAACA
rnacentral:lncRNA from 1 species